CAAUAUGAAUCAAUGCGUCAAUAGGCAUUGGGCCCAUCCCUCUUCCGCUGAAAGGGAAACUUAGGUAGUUUGGCAUUUGAUUAGUAUGAUUGGGUGGCCUCAGGAAUUUCUAUGGGGGUGUUUCCAGAGGAGACUGGCAUGUGAGUCAGUGAACUGAGUGGGGAAAUUCCACCCUCAAAGUGGGCAGGCAUCAUUCAAUAGGCUGGGGCCCAAGUGGAACAAAAAGGCAGAGGGAGGGCAGAUUCUUGCUCUGUCGUUAACUGAGCUGGGACACUCUUCCUUUUCUGCCCUUAAAUGCCAGAAAUCUGAGCUUUCUGGCUUUUUUUGGACUACAGGCCUCACACCAGCAGUUCCCAGGCUUUGGACUGAGUUACACCAUCAGCUUCGUUGGUUCUAUGGCCACCUAUCAUGGAACUUCUCAGUCUCCAUAAUCAAACAUUUAUUGAGAACUACCCCAUACCAAGCAUUGUGCCAGAGCUGGAGUUACAGUGUUGAAUACAGUAGAUAUGAUCUGUAAUCUCAUUCUGACAAAGGAAUAAAUAAGUUUACAAGCAACUUUUAAAAACAUUUACAAAUUGUGAAUGAAACAAGAUACUGAGAAAAGAUCACCUGGAAGAGUGAUGAGAUGGUCAGGGCAAUGGGUAAAUUGUACAGAGAAAGCCAAAAGAUGGAGUCAAAAUUCCCACUAAGGAGUCAAGCCUGGAUAGCUGAACAGAUGGAGGCAUCAACAGAAACAAAGAUGAGCCAAUUUGAGAGAGGACCUGACAGAUAGUGAUCUACCCUCAGAUGUAUUAAAUCAGAGACACUUGUAGAAAUGUUCGACAAAUAAUUGGAAAUGUUGGCCUACUUUUAGAGAAAAGUCAGGAUUUUGGAUACAAAUCAGAGUGUCUACCACUUAAAGACAUGAAAUUAUAUUUCUUCAUCAAGCAGAGAGAAAGGGACCAUGAGCAGAACACUAAAGAAUGUGCAAUCUGGUGGGGUAAGAGCAAAAGAAGACAAUGAAGGAAAGGAAGCCAUAAAAGAGGGAGAAAGGGUUAGUUGAGAUGGUCCUCUGCCACAUACUGAGAAAAAAGAUAUCAAUAAUGAACAUCAACAAUUGUACAUUUUUACAGUGUUCAAGGGCAAUGAGAUAAGAAAAAUAUUUUUGAGUCAUUGAUAGAAGGUAUUGAGAAAUAUUGAGGGAGCAUUUUCUGUAAAAUUAUGGGUGGGCCAGUUCACAGAGAGGAAGCACGGCUCAAUUCAUAGAUAGGAAGCCCCAGAUUCUCUGGAACACUCCCAAUUAUAGUUUAUUUUAUCCCAUUACACACCAUAUGUGUUUUGGUUCUCCACUUGAAACUGUGGUAACCUAAUGGUAAAUAGAUGGAAACAAUGCUGUUAAAGCUUUCAAGAUGCUUGUCAAGGGAAGGAAAGUGAGCAAUAAGUACUUAUAACUUGAAGGGGAAUCAAAAGAAGGCAUUUUUUGGAGUAGAGCGUCCUGUGCACAACUGCAAGCAGUAUGGAAGUGAGCAGCUGUCAAAAGCAGGAGAAUGAAGAUUUGACAAACAAAAAGAGAUUUAUUAAUGGCACUUGGUUCCAGAAAAAGGCAGAAGUUGGGAUCAAUGGAACAAGAUGGAAAAAGGUGAG
rnacentral:lncRNA from 1 species